UGGGGAAUAUUGCACAAUGGGGGAAACCCUGAUGCAGCAACGCCGCGUGAGUGAAGAAGGUUUUCGGAUCGUAAAGCUCUGUUGUAAGAGAAGAACGUGUGUGAGAGUGGAAAGUUCACACAGUGAUGGUAACUUACCAGAAAGGGACGGCUAACUACGUGCCAG
rnacentral:rRNA from 1 species